GAUGAACGCUGACAGAAUGCUUAACACAUGCAAGUCGAUGGGGAAGUGGUGCUUGCACCAUGGUAACCAUGGCGGACGGGUGAGUAACGCGUAAGGAACUUGCCUGCGGGACUGGGAUAACAGCAGGAAACUGCUGAUAAUACCGGAUAAGGUCAUUAAGCUGCAUAGCUUAGUGAUGAAAGGAGACGCCUGCGGAGAGCCUUGCGUCCUAUUAGCUAGUUGGAGGGGUAACGGCCCACCAAGGCGAAGAUAGGUAGCCGGCCUGAGAGGGUGGACGGCCACAAGGGGACUGAGAUACGGCCCUUACUCCUACGGGAGGCAGCAGUGGGGAAUAUUGGACAAUGGGGGCAACCCUGAUCCAGCAAUUCUGUGUGCACGAAGACGGUUUUCGGAUUGCAAAGUGCUUUCAGCAGGGAAGAAGGAAGUGACGGUACCUGCAGAAGAAGCGACGGCUAAAUACGUG
rnacentral:rRNA from 1 species